CUAUUAACCUGGCAGGGGAGGCACCAUGAUGAAGGUGGUUUUCCCAGGAUGAGGCUUAUCCAUUGCACUCCAGAUGUGCUGACCCCUACGAUUUCCCCAAAUGCGGGAAACUUGUCUGAAUAAUUUGUGGUAGUGGGUGACUGUGUUCUCGCUCUCUCCUG
ensembl:snRNA U1 U1 spliceosomal RNA